rnacentral:lncRNA from 1 species
GAUAUCAUUUUUAUCUGAUUCUCCUGCUGCAACACUUGCUUCUGUUUCAGUAUUGGUGUUUUUCUGACCUUGAUUUUUAUCACCAUUAUUCUUCCGCUACUCUUUAUUUUUCAACUUGAAACAAUCAGCUUUUAUGUGACCCUUCUUCUUACAAUAACUACAAAUCAGAUUCCUGUGCUUUGACUUUGAUCUAGAUGUACCUCUAUUACCAGAACCCUUCUCUCAAGACUUCCCUCUAGCGACCAAACCUUGUCCUGAAGCUCCACCUAUCUCGUUGCUUAUCUAUAUGUCAAUUC